CAAACAUUCUGAAGUUUCUGCUAAGACAAUAAGGCAGGGUGAUUUGGUGUCUCUGACCAUGCCAGGGGAGAUGUUUGGAGUUGAUGGUGGUUAAUGGCUGUUGAUGGUUGUGAUCAAAAUGCUUCCUUCGAGCUGUUUGACCACUGCCAAGGGCCUCUAGUUUAUUUCUCUCCAUUGUAGUGGCUUCUCUUAGCUCGCUGAAUAGCAGCCUGAUUCCUGGCAGCUACUUUAAAUCUGCACGACCAGAAAAGUUGGGAGGAUAAGAGGGAGUGAAGAGCCCCAUAUGCUCUUUCAGAGAAAGAGCUACUACAUCUUUUGCUAACACCAUAAAUAAAUGCAUCAACUUCCAGUUCUUAUACACAUGGUAUCUGCAAUAUAAUGGAGCCAUUCCUGCAUUACACUGCUGCUGCCCAACUCCUGGCAUGCAGAUUGAUCUAUUCCUCAGGUGAUUCAUCAUGUUAUAAAGUUUGUUUGUUCUCUGGUCCAUGAGCAACACACUGUAAUAAAAUCUGGCUAUAGUUGUCAAAGAA